CCAGUUUCUGUAGUCGUAAGGUGUCCAUUUUAGAUCUUUGCGUCACCGUGUCACGCCGUCGUGGUUUUUCCAUUGGCCAACUGCCACUGUAAUUCCCUUAGGGGCUUUGUAGAUGCAGCGGGACGAGCUGUGUGCCAAAGGGCAACAGAGGAGAGGCGAGCGGAGCGCUGUAAGAAGGUGCAAAGCGGGAUAUUGGCACCAGAGCUGAUUCGGGCAAGGUGGUACCCGAGCCUCAACUUGGCAACCUGUAAACAGCAGAGGCAGUGCGGGCGAGCGGCCGAGAUGCUGCAAGAGGCUCAGAGGGGCGAAGCUGCGUGCUGAGGAGCGGUCCGAGAAGGCGCCAUACAGGCAGCCUUUGGAACUGGAUGAGCCUUUGAGGUGCCACGAGCGAUGACGGCCGCAGCGUCCGACGCUGGAAUUCCUGCAGAGCAGAUGAUGAAGAGGAACCUGGCAACUGCAGGAAUAUCCUGGUUCACUGAUGUGUUUUUUGCUGAGGAUGGAUUCAGACCCCUGCCGUCUGACAGCUAAGUUGAGGGACUGGAGACCACUGCCCUACAGUGUGUAAUUUUGACUUCAGUUGGAAAGAAAUUGUCCAAAGCGGAAAUCUUUCUCGUUCAAAGAAGUUGCAUUUUAUUGAACUUCCCAUCAGAGUGGCUCUUCAGAG